rnacentral:rRNA from 1 species
AUACGGAGGGUGCAAGCGUUACUCGGAAUCACUGGGCGUAAAGGAUGCGUAGGCGGAUAAUCAAGUCAAAAGUGAAAUCCCACGGCUUAACCGUGGAACUGCUUUCGAAACUGGUUAUCUAGAAUAUGGAAGAGGCAGAUGGAAUUAGUGGUGUAGGGGUAAAAUCCGUAGAGAUCACUAGGAAUACCGAUUGCGAAGGCGAUCUGCUGGGACAUUAUUGACGCUGAGGCAUGAAAGCGUGGGGAGCAAACAGGAUUAGAUACCCCGGUAGUCC